AUGCUGCCGGAAGAAACGUCCAUCUUACGUGUUAGGGAGGGUGGAAAAGACGGCGGGGGCGUUGGAAAUGGAUACGGUUUUGGCGGUUGCCGGGCGGACGGACGGAACCUGGUGGUGGUGGGCCGGCGGCUGCAGGUGGUGGUGGGGGUUGACGCCGAGGAAGUGCGCGUACUGCUCCGGCAGGCUCACGCCGUGGCCCUGCUGCGGCGGCGCCAUGAAGGGCAUCCGCGCCAUGGACGGGCCCAUCUGCGGCAGGUACUGGUGCAUCUGCAUGCCCGGGAACAUCACCGCCGGCGGCGCCAUGCCGCUGCCCAUCCACAUCAUCUGCACCUGCAUCUGCAGCGUCUUCAGAUCCCACUGAUUCGAGGACUUUGCCGUCACGACCAAGGUCCGUUCAUCCCGGGUGGCUCAAGCGGCUUCAAAAACCUCAAGGGUGAUUCCUUUGGUGGAGUCCUCGUGGCAGCGCACAUGGUUCCAUGCUGCAAUGAUGCUCUUUCUCUGUGUGGCUGGUUCUCAUCAACGACGACUCCUCGGUGUUAG
rnacentral:rRNA from 1 species